rnacentral:rRNA from 1 species
CAGGGUUUGAUCCUGGCUCAGAUUGAACGCUAGCGGGAUGCCUUACACAUGCAAGUCGAACGGCAGCACGGACUUCGGUCUGGUGGCGAGUGGCGAACGGGUGAGUAAUGUAUCGGAACGUGCCCAGUAGCGGGGGAUAAAUACGCGAAAGCGUAGCUAAUACCGCAUACGCCCUACGGGGGAAAGCAGGGGAUCGCAAGACCUUGCACUAUUGGAGCGGCCGAUAUCGGAUUAGCUAGUUGGUGGGGUAACGGCUCACCAAGGCGACGAUCCGUAGCUGGUUUGAGAGGACGACCAGCCACACUGGGACUGAGACACGGCCCAGACUCCUACGGGAGGCAGCAGUGGGGAAUUUUGGACAAUGGGGGAAACCCUGAUCCAGCCAUCCCGCGUGUGCGAUGAAGGCCUUCGGGUUGUAAAGCACUUUUGGCAGGAAAGAAACGUCGCGGGUUAAUACCCCGCGAAACUGACGGUACCUGCAGAAUAAGCACCGGCUAACUACGUGCCAGCAGCCGCGGUAAUACGUAGGGUGCAAGCGUUAAUCGGAAUUACUGGGCGUAAAGCGUGCGCAGGCGGUUCGGAAAGAAAGAUGUGAAAUCCCAGAGCUUAACUUUGGAACUGCAUUUUUAACUACCGGGCUAGAGUGUGUCAGAGGGAGGUGGAAUUCCGCGUGUAGCAGUGAAAUGCGUAGAUAUGCGGAGGAACACCGAUGGCGAAGGCAGCCUCCUGGGAUAACACUGACGCUCAUGCACGAAAGCGUGGGGGAGCAAACAAGAUUAGAUACCCUGGUAG